UACGGGGGGGGCAAGCGUUGUUCGGAAUUACUGGGCGUAAAGGGCGCGUAGGCGGUCCGUUAAGUUGGAUGUGAAAACUCUGGGCUCAACCCAGAGCCUGCAUCCAAAACUGGCAGGCUAGAGUUCUGGGGGGGGUAGCGGAAUUCCUGGUGUAGCGGUGAAAUGCGUAGAUAUCAGGAGGAACACCGGUGGCGAAGGCGGGUCUCUGGGCCGAAACUGACGCUGAGGAGCGAAAGCGUGGGGAGCAAACAGG
rnacentral:rRNA from 1 species